GGGCCCGCACAAGCGGAGGAGCAUGUGGUUUAAUUCGAUGAUACGCGAGGAACCUUACCUAGGCUUGAAAGACGUAUGCUUUAUUUAGAGAUAGAUAUUUCCGUUUACGGACAUACGUUUAGGUGCUGCAUGGCUGUCGUCAGCUCGUGCCGUGAGGUGUUUGGUUAAGUCCAGCAACGAGCGCAACCCCUAUUAUUAGUUACCAGCGAUUUAAGUCGGGGACUCUAAUAAAACUGCCAGCGUAAGCUGAGAGGAAGGUGGGGAUGACGUCAAGUCAGCACGGCCCUUACGUCUAGGGCUACACACGUGCUACAAUGGUUGGUACAGAGGGCAGCUACAUAGUGAUAUGAUGCGAAUCUCUAAAGCCAAUCUCAGUUCGGAUUGAAGUCUGCAACUCGACUUCAUGAAGUCGGAUUCGCUAGUAAUCGCGUAUCAGCAAUGACGCGGUGAAUACGUUCCCGGGCCUU
rnacentral:rRNA from 1 species